rnacentral:tRNA from 1 species
AGGGAUAUAACUCAGCGGUAGAGUGCCACCUUGACAUGGUGGAAGCCAUCAGUUCGAGUCUGAUUAUCCCUA